rnacentral:rRNA from 1 species
GAUGAACGCUGGCGGCGUGCCUAAUACAUGCAAGUCGAGCGAACGGACGAGAAGCUUGCUUCUCUGAUGUUAGCGGCGGACGGGUGAGUAACACGUGGAUAACCUACCUAUAAGACUGGGAUAACUUCGGGAAACCGGAGCUAAUACCGGAUGAUAUUUUGAACCGCAUGGUUCAAAAGUGAAAGACGGUCUUGCUGUCACUUAUAGAUGGAUCCGCGCUGCAUUAGCUAGUUGGUAAGGUAACGGCUUACCAAGGCAACGAUGCAUAGCCGACCUGAGAGGGUGAUCGGCCACACUGGAACUGAGCCCCGGUCCAGACUCCUAGGGGAGGCAGAGGUAGGAAAUCUUCGGCAAUGGGCGAAGGCCUGCCGGAGCAACGCGGCGGGGGGGAUGAGGGUCUUCGGUCCGUAAAACUCUGUUAUUAGGGAAGAACAUAUGUGUAAGUACCGGGGCACAUCUGGACGGUACCUAAUAAGAAAGCCACGCUUACUACGUG